AAUAGAUACCCAGGUAGUCCACGCCGUAAACGAUGAGUGCUAAGUGUUAGAGGGUUUCCGCCCUUUAGUGCUGAAGUUAACGCAUUAAGCACUCCGCCUGGGGAGUACGGCCGCAAGGCUGAAACUCAAAGGAAUUGACGGGGGCCCGCACAAGCGGUGGAGCAUGUGGUUUAAUUCGAAGCAACGCGAAGAACCUUACCAGGUCUUGACAUCCUCUGACAACCCUAGAGAUAGGGCUUCUCCUUCGGGAGCAGAGUGACAGGUGGUGCAUGGUUGUCGUCAGCUCGUGUCGUGAGAUGUUGGGUUAAGUCCCGCAACGAGCGCAACCCUUGAUCUUAGUUGCCAUCAUUCAGUUGGGCACUCUAAGGUGACUGCCGGUGACAAACCGGAGGAAGGUGGGGAUGACGUCAAAUCAUCAUGCCCCUUAUGACCUGGGCUACACACGUGCUACAAUGGACGGUACAAAGAGCUGCAAGACCGCGAGGUGGAGCUAAUCUCAUAAAACCGUUCUCAGUUCGGAUUGUAGG
rnacentral:rRNA from 1 species